UUGACAUCCAGCGAACUUUCCAGAGAUGGAUUGGUGCCUUCGGGAACGCUGAGACAGGUGCUGCAUGGCUGUCGUCAGCUCGUGUUGUGAAAUGUUGGGUUAAGUCCCGCAACGAGCGCAACCCUUAUCCUUUGUUGCCAGCGAUUCGGUCGGGAACUCAAAGGAGACUGCCGGUGAUAAACCGGAGGAAGGUGGGGAUGACGUCAAGUCAUCAUGGCCCUUACGAGUAGGGCUACACACGUGCUACAAUGGCGCAUACAAAGAGAAGCGACCUCGCGAGAGCAAGCGGACCUCAUAAAGUGCGUCGUAGUCCGGAUCGGAGUCUGCAACUCGACUCCGUGAAGUCGGAAUCGCUAGUAAUCGUGGAUCAGAAUGCCACGGUGAAUACGUUCCCGGGCCUUGUACACACCGCCCGUCACACCAUGGGAGUGGGUUGCAAAAGAAGUAGGUAGCUUAACCUUCGGGAGGGCGCUUACCACUUUGUGAUUCAUGACUGGGGUGAAGUCGUAACAAGGUAAGCGUAGCGAG
rnacentral:rRNA from 1 species